rnacentral:rRNA from 1 species
GUAGGGAAUAUUGGGCAAUGGAUGCAAGUCUGACCCAGCCAUCCCGCGUGCCGGAAGAAGGCCCUCAGGGUUGUAAACGGCUUUUGACGGUGAAGAAUCGACAGGAUGCGUCCUGUUUUGACGGUAGCCGUUGAAUAAGCACCGGCUAACUCCGUGCCAGCAGCCGCGGUAAUACGGAGGGUGCGAGCGUUGUCCGGAUUUAUUGGGUUUAAAGGGUGCGUAGGCUGGAAGGUCAGUCAGCGGUGAAAAGCUGUCGCUUAACGAUAGUCUUACCGCAGAUACUUCCUUUCUUGGAUGAGGAGGAGGCCACUGGAACGGAUGGUGUAGCGGUGAAAUGCAUAGAUAUCAUCCAGAACACCGAUUGCGAAGGCAGGUGGCUGUACCUUAAUCGACGCUGAUGCACGAAAGCAUGGGGAGCAAACAGGAUUAGAUACCCCUGUAGUCC